GAACGCGAAGAACCUUACCAGGUCUUGACAUCCCUCUGACCGCUCUAGAGAUAGAGUUUUCCUUCGGGACAGAGGUGACAGGUGGUGCAUGGUUGUCGUCAGCUCGUGUCGUGAGAUGUUGGGUUAAGUCCCGCAACGAGCGCAACCCCUAUUGUUAGUUGCCAUCAUUGAGUUGGGCACUCUAGCGAGACUGCCGGUAAUAAACCGGAGGAAGGUGGGGAUGACGUCAAAUCAUCAUGCCCCUUAUGACCUGGGCUACACACGUGCUACAAUGGCUGGUACAACGAGUCGCAAGCCGGUGACGGCAAGCUAAUCUCUUAAAGCCAGUCUCAGUUCGGAUUGUAGGCUGCAACUCGCCUACAUGAAGUCGGAAUCGCUAGUAAUCGCGGAUCAGCACGCCGCGGUGAAUACGUUCCCGGGUCUUGUACACACC
rnacentral:rRNA from 1 species